GAACCAUGUUCCAGAAGUACGACAUAAUACAGAACCCGUAAUGUGACGUACUACUGAUCUUAGAAUAAAGUUUCUAAGAUUAGACGGACGUGAUAUUAAUUGUAAGAUUUUGGCUGUCAACCGCGUGUGUGGGUCCUUUGUGCGCAAAUCCUUAAGAAUGGGCUAUUGCCGGCACUGUUACGCUUGUAAAUCAUGUAAUGCCGUCACAAAACCGUUGUUAUUUUUAUGGCACAAGUUGUAUUUUAUGUGGGAAUAUUAAUGAAAUGUAACGAUUAAUAAUAUCCAACGAAAGUAUACCAAUGAAAAUAACCAAAUGCGAUCGACUCAACAGACUUUUCAUUUGAAAAUAAAGCAGUAAAAAAUAAUCAUUACCAUACCAAAGUUUUCUCUCGGAAUGCCCUGCUCAGACGAGGAAACUAAUAUCACUGAUGUAAAAUAAGUAUUAAUAAUUAUUAUUAAUUUACACAAUUAUUAUUUUUUUAUUUUAUUUUAAUGAUAAAUUAUAUAGUUAUUUAAAUAUUAAAUUAAUGUGUUUUUUUUUUAACAAUUGGAAUGUUUAAAAUAAAAUUAAAGUGAAUAAAAUUUAUAUAAA